GAAAAAAAAUCCAGAAAAAACAGCGCACAUGCCCCCGCUCCCUCAAUCCCUAGCUAGCCGUCGCUCCUCUCCUCUUCUCCACCCACCGCCACCGCCGCCACCGCACCUCAAUCCCGAGCCAUUUCCUUCUCUCCCUCUAUACCUCCUACACUACCGGCGCUCCUACCCGGACCAUCCACGUCCUUCUGACCCACGCACGCCGCCUGCACUCCACGCCCCCACGCGACGCCACCACACCAAGGGGCACUGAUGGCCGCCGCCGGCGUGGGUCUUGGACUUGUGGGCCACCUCAUGCCGACAUGGUGCCUCCCGGUGACGACCACCACCACCACCUCCUCCUCCUCCUCAAGCCAUCACUGUCGCCUCCCCUCCACCAUGGCUUGCCUGCGUGAGCCCGACACGGGAGGACGACGUCGACCAUGCAGCGGAGCCUAGCGGGCGUGGACCAGCGCAGUGGUCGUCGCCAAGGAUCGAUGGCCGGCGCUGAAGAGGAGGGGGCCCUCUUCCUGCUGCUAUCUUCCCCAUCCCCUACGGGCUGGAUCUAGAGAAGUACGGUGCAUUCCUUCUCCCCUGUGUGUAUUUGAUGCAAUUUGGGGUAACUUUGUAAAUACAGGAACUUUGUGUGAACAUUAUGUGUGCAGUAACUUACAAGGAACAUAAAUGCUUGUACCGAGAGAGGGUGAGGGGCUGAUUUGUCUAGCACUUUUCUCUUCUAGCAGAUAUAUAAGUUGUUGCCGACGACUCCGGCCGGGCGGGUGAUGUUAUGCUUGACCACUUCUUGCAUGAGAUUGUUGACUUGUUGUCUUCUAUCUCAAAAAUGUCGCUCAGGUUCUUUCUCCGUGUGAUAAUCCAGCUCGGCUUGACUGGUAUGAAAGUCGCAUGUUAUUCAUGUCGCAUGUUAUUCAGGUUGCACAUCUCACAAUUGUUUAGAAGAAAUGCAUAUCUUUAUCCAUAUCUACAUUUGCUUUUAGUCAUAGCAAAAAGGGACAAGGACGGCGACUUCAACAGCGAUAGGACGGAAGCCAGUAUGCCUGGACCAACAAGCCGGUGUUCUUUAUUCCCUUCUUUCAUUAUGUCGGGAGUGGAUAAUCAACUUUCGUUUUUCUUUUCUGUACCUUCUUAUUUAUGCAUCUUAGUUAGGAAGCUAACUUCGUUUCUUUGCAUCAUCAUGGAAUAUUUUUUGUAGGAUUUGCAGACAUUUGCUAAGCUUAAAUACGUGAAUAUGGACAUGUGGUAUUAUUCAUUAGAGUGGGCAGGUGAAUGUAGACAAAUUCGGUGGUUUAUAAUUUUUAUCAGAGGCUAGAAGGAACUAAGGAGCGGCACUUGGAGAAGAGGGGUGCCAAAAUCCAACAAGGAAUUGGGCAUGCAACCACUCCACUGACACAACAAUCUCGUUACGUGACGCCGCGUAGAUGCCCAUUGCGGCGGUGGCCACUGACACCGACGACAAUGUGGCAUUGCAGCAAGCGACCCCGAAGUUGGCGAGGCCUGCAGCAGACCUCUGCUGUGCACGCCCAUCCGACCCUACCUGACGGUGUUCCCUGAGCCAUGGUUUGUGCCUUCUCCUCCCCUAUAUCAUCUAACUAAUUCCUUGCAUGCCAUCACCACACAAUCCACUAGAGGUAGACUAAGCCAUACUGGAAACGAGCUUCUGAUUUUCCAGUUUAUUUUGUUUCAGAGUUUGCAGUAUUUCCCCACUUGAUCAUGUAUACUUCUCUUUUUAAUGUAUCUAUGGUCCUCCUUAUACAAAGAAGUUAUUCUUUGUAGGUGAUGUAAAGUCUUCUUUCUUUUUUGGCUAAAAACGUUCAUUGUAGAAAACAAAAUUCAUGCCUAAUGAAUGUGUUAGGUGAGAUGUGGAGUAAGAGGAGACACCAGACCAGCUCGCAAUGCAGUUGGCAUGGUUAACAUUACAAUCUUGGAAAAUGAUCACCUCUAUAGACGAAGGAUUUAUGGACGUACGAAGGAAUGUGGCAUAUAUUAUCUAGAAAAUGGAAUGCUUCCUCCUGAUGCCCAAUCAUGGUGUCAUGCUUCAUUUGAUCCCAAACAACUACUUUGUUUAGUAAUUUAUUUACUCUUCAUCACUGCCUGCAAUUUUGAUCAUUGACUAUAGUUUGUAAAUCAACUUGAAUUUAACUUGGUAAGUUUUAAUUGUCUGUUUUUUUCGCUUAUCGGUUAUGUAUGGAGGUUGUCACAUGUUUGAUUGGACUUCAAUUUGGACAUUUAGUCCUACAUUUCGAGGUAUAAGAUUGUUGUUUGUUUCUAUAUUUGAACAUUUCUUCUUAUGGCGUAGAAACUGUAUUCUAUUUUCCCUUUUUUGGGCUAACUUGCCUGUAGAAGCUCAAAGGAAGAAUUAUCGAUUGGCUAAUCUCUUCUUUCAACCUGUUAGAACUUACAUUUUUCCUGCUUAAAGUAUUACAUGAAUACACUAGAUAAUCACUGGAGCCUGCAGAGUUGACGCAGUAUAACAGAUUAGCCUGAUGCUAAAAGAUGUAGUCAUGCAGACCUCACCAAUGAGUGAAUGUUGGAUUAGGUCCUAAUCAUCCGGAUAUUGCAGCAACUCUUAUAAAUGUGGCAAUGAUGUACCAGGAUGCGAGCAAUAUGAGUACUGCUCUUAGGUAUCUUCAGGAAGCACUUAAGAAGAAUGAGUGCCUUUUAGGCCCAGGUCAUAUUCAAACAACAGUUCGCUAUCAUGCUCUCGUCAUUGCAUUCAGCUGUAUGGGUGCAUACAAGCUUUCAGUUUAGGUUAGUUCUGACGAAAAAAUGGCGGAAUAACAUUGUGACACAUUUUACUGACUUCAUGAUUUUGGUGGCAGCAUGAAACCUAGGCGCAUGAUAUACUGGUAAAACAGUUAGGGAGUGAUGAUUCACAAACAAAAUAUCCAGAAAAUUAGUUGAAUACAUUUAAGGGGCGAGAACAACAAGUAUGUGCUGAAAAAUUAUUUCACAUGGUUGCUUCACUCUUGGUUCAGGGAUUCUUGCACAUUCCCAAAGUAGCAACUUCAAGUUAUAGGUAGGAGAAAGUUGCACUUAAUGGCUUCAGAUCGUGCACAUUACAUUUUUUCAUAGGGGCAUAUGUUUUUUUGCGAAUAUGCAAAGCUUGCGUAUCAUUCCAUUAUUAGAAAAGAGAAUGAGUAUAGUCGAGGGUACAACACAUGACAUGAACGUGCAAAGGCAUGAACACUGAACCCGGAGCAGAGAGACAAGGGAUGCUCAGCCCAAACAUGGAAAAGACACAACUAAACCCACCAAUCCUAGAACUAGGGAGGCAGACCAAACAAGCAUGACAUCGGACAUCUCCAAAUCCAUCACCGGGGACGCCGCAAGCAAGCAAGAUAGCGCCUUCAAGAAGGAGAACAACGUCGCAAAGCCGCCACCAUACGAUCUGGAGAACCGGACCUAGGGUUUCCCACAAUGCUCGAAGAGAUGUUUAUUUGAUCUCAAGUUUAUUCAAAGUGGGCCACGAGAACUUUAUGAAUCUGCUUGGCUAUUGGUGAAGAACAAAAUCCUUUCAUCAGAGGUACGAUGUUUGAAUAAGGUCAAAAUGGGGCUCUCUUCGAGCAUCUCCAUGGUAAGUGUGUACUGAUUCUGUUAAUUUUCUUACUGUCAACAGAAUGGUUCCUAUAACGUGCAUCCAGUUCAACAAUUUUAGCAUGUGUUGGUAGCCAACAAUUACUAAUAAUCAGUAUUUGAUAAUGCUUUGGAUUAUUCUGCAGUUCUUUUUUUACCGCAGUUAUGUUGCAGUCAAAGAUACUGAGAACAUGGACUGGAUGACCCAACUUCAAAUGGCGAUGGGGAUAGCUUACUGUCGAGAGAACAUGCUUAAGCUGAAUCUACCUGCUAGGCCAAGGAACCUCAUCUCAACAGUUAUGUUGCAACGGUGUCAGAUCUUGAUGUCUGGAAUGGCACCAAGGGAUCUGAUUCUGUCACUGAUGAUUGCAUCAUGCUAUAUUUCAUUGUGCAUCAGGAUGGCAUCAUGCUUAAGUUGAAUCUACAUACUAUAGCUUACUGACGAAGAUAAUGGCUGCAUCUUUUUUAGUUGGUCUCGUCGCAUCUAAUAGAAAACAUACAACUUGAUACAUUCUGUCGGAUGCAUAUCUUUUUUUCCUGGAAGUCGAACACUCAGAGCAAUGAUGGUAAACCAGGGGGCAUUUAUUUUUUUAGUUACAGAUUUGCUCAGCAGUCUUGGUGACGUAUGAUAUUUCCUUGGGGGCAAAUUCAGAUAUUUUGCCUCUUUUUCAGAUAGCUAAAGAUGGUUUUGCUGGCCCCUUGUUUCUUGAAGAUAAUCUCUUUUGCGCUGUGGAAUAUUUGGAAAUAGAUGAAUGCUUGGAUUUUUUAAGGGAAGCAAGCAUCUUUAUCCGGAUGGCUCUGGUCACAUAGAGUUAAAACCAAAGUCCACUCUAAGUGCUUGGAUCUCCUCUACGUCUUGAGCUUUUGAUCCUUAGACUUUAAUUUUUCUUUUUCUUUUAGGGGUAUCCUCUACCUCUAUGUAAUCAUGUAGCUUUGUACAUUACUCCCCUUUUUCCUCGCUCUAUUAAUGAAAAUUACAUAGUAGGGGGUUCCCCUACUGUUUGCCCA